GGCCUGCGACAGCAUGCCAACUCACUAUUCCUGAAGGAUUGUUUGUUUAGUGUGUGUGUCACAACUCGAAGGGUGUCGCUGCUAGAACUGCGUGUAUGCGGUAGUGUAUGUGCCCACUAACAACCUCACUGUUUUCUUACCAGUCACUAUUUGACUACUCUUAGAGUUAUAUUUUACACUGGCUUUAGAAUGUUCCGUUCUUAUCAGCACUGGCGAAGGUGUGGAAAAAUGGACAUAUGCCAGUUUUGUGGCAGACAAUAGACAGGGAAGGGAACAACAAACACCACAAUAACUUAAAAGCCCAGUUCCUUGGCUCUGGGCCCAGGAGAUUUCAGUGGUUUUGGAGCAGUUUCUUAUCCUAUUUUGCCCCUGGUGGUGGUGGAGGCGGUGGUGGAGUGGGCUCUGCAAGGCAGCCGCAGCUGAAGGCAGAGUUAGUAUGCACACAUAAAGCUGCUCAAAGCCAGCAGGUAUGUGAGGAAUGCCUCUUCGUCCAAACAACAGGACUCACGCCCGACACAGCCACGCCACGCAGCACUGUCAGAGCAGCUAAGUGGGGCCCACUAGGGACUCAGCAACAGGAUGCCUCUUUAUAUUAGAUCUGGCACACUAUCUGCAUUUAAAUACACUUACCCAGCAAUCAAUCACUUUGUACAUAGUGUAUGUCACUGGGUUUAAGCAUUUUUGCAGCGUGUAGAAAAAAAGAGCCUACAUUGUUUUACAGUGAGCCCUUGCUAAUCCAAGUGCAGAGGAAUGAGGGUAAUACUGGUAUGUAAAAUAUCCGUGUAAAAAUUUGAUUUAUCAAGCUGCACUUCAAUAAACAACCAAAAUCUACAGUACAUGAAAACUGCAAUGCAAUGGUGAAUGCAUGAACCAAUUUGUUUUGCACUUUAAAUACAUUUCUCCAACAUGUAUCGACAAGGGAUUUUGAGAUCUUUGCGCAAUAAACAUAGUUUAGGGUCUUUACAUAUUUUGUGUUCUGUGCCAGCUUGGUUAACCUGCAUGUUUGCACAGUAGGGGUUUCUAGAACAUGAGGUGACGAUGACUAUUACAUCUUGAUUGAAUUAUAAACAAUACGUUAAAGAAACCUUAGCACAUAAAGAAUCACAGGCAUACUGUGCUCGCAUGUACAUUUCAAACAAUCACAAGUAAGACUAUGCAACUGACAGUAAAUGAAACUAUUAAGUCCAAACUUCAUCUGUGUAUUUACCUCUUUUAUGCAGCCAUCCCUCCUUGACGAUCACCACAUUGGUCAUGUUGGUGGGCAGGAUGGAGGAUCCAGGUUUUCCACAGGGAGAGACACAACUUUAUAUCCCAAGUUUCCUUCCCUCAACCCUGUGCAGGAGCCUGGAGAUGGGGUCCUGGGGUUUGUAGCCGCCUUCUCAGUGGUGGUUACCUAUUAAUUGGAGAAAAGUAAAAAUUAGCCCUGCAAUGAGGUAAAAGAUUUUUUUUCCCACUUGUCUGAAUAUUAACCCUCAGGUCAACAUCGUAGAGGGGAAGCAGUGGAAAUUAGAAGAUCCUCGUGCUUUAUGGCCCAGUCAGUGGAGGAUAUGGUACAAUACAACCACAAUGUAGUUCUUUUCACAAGUGGAACCUGCAACAUUUCAAGGUUCAAGUAUCUGUGUAAGGCUGUGGUUUUUGGCAUUCACAAUGAAGCCUCCCGUAUUGGAAAAUUCCAUGGUCUUCACAAUUGACAGCCAUAGACUAUGUGCUCUUUUUUUUCAAAAUCAUGACCAGAAAAGUAGUGAUUCAGUAAGAACGUUAAAUAUUUUUCACAUAGGCAAUCUAAAUAAUCAAUUUUCAGACAUAUUGAACAACUGCAUACCUAUGUAUUUUCAGAAUUUUGCCAAAGGCAAGUUCAUAUUUGCUCCAAUGUUGUUUUUGUAAUUCUAAUUUUUUACUUUUACUUGUAAGCAUGUGGCAACAAAGUUCAAAAUGGAAGAAUCCUGUGAACUGAUUUGAGGACUGUGUAUUCUUUCUUUGUUUAUUGCAUACACUACCAUAUGUCUCUGAAGGAAAUGGCAAUAAAUACUACCCUACUUGCA